GAUGAAGAACGUAGCGAAAUGCGAUAAGUAAUGUGAAUUGCAGAAUUCAGUGAAUCAUCGAAUCUUUGAACGCACAUUGCGCCCCCCAGUAUUCUGGCGGGCAUGCCUGUUCGAGCGUCAUUUCAACCAUCAAGCCCUGCUUGUGUUGGGGUCCUGCGGCUGCCCGCAGGCCCUGACAACCAGUGGCGGGCUCGCUAGUCACACCGAGCGCAGUAGCACAUCUCGCUCAGGGCGUGCGGCGGGCUCCAGCCGUUAAAGCACCCACCUUUCGCAAGGUUGACCUCGGAUCAGGUAGGAAUACCCGCUGAACUUAAGCAUUCAAUAAGCGGAGGA
rnacentral:misc_RNA from 1 species